rnacentral:rRNA from 1 species
CCUACGGGAGGCAGCAGUGGGGAAUAUUGCACAAUGGGGGAAACCCUGAUGCAGCGACGCCGCGUGAGGGAAGAAGGAUUUCGGUAUGUAAACCUCUAUCAUCAGGGAAGAAAAUGACGGUACCUAACUAAUAAGCCCCGGCUAACUACGUGCCAGCAGCCGCGGUAAUACGUAGGGGGCAAGCGUUAUCCGGAUUUACUGGGUGUAAAGGGAGCGUAGGCGGCGCGGAAAGUCAGAUGUGAAAGCCCAUGGCUUAACUAUGGUACUGCUUUGGAAACUGUGGAGCUUGAGUGCGGGAGGGGCAGGCGGAAUUCUUGGUGUAGCGGUGAAAUGCGUAGAGAUUAGGAGGAACACCGGUGGCGAAGGCGGCCUGCUGGAACGUAACUGACGUUGAGGCUCGAAAGCGUGGGGAGCAAACAGGAUUAGAUACCCGGGUAGUC